UUUUUUUUGCACACAGAAGCUCUCGGCCGGGCGCGCAGCGGCGGCGGAACUAUAUCACGCAGCGUCGCUUAUCACGUUUCUCAAAGGAAAGCCCACACGAGUCAUCACCAAUUCUAAAAUCGAUUGGGCAAUAUAAAAGAAGAAAUAUGUUUUGGGGUUUGUCUAUAGAGGGCGGUAAACAUUAUUCCCAAAUAGUGAAUGAAACUUUCAAUGUCACAAUGGCUGCUCUUGAGACGAGAGAAUUUUCCGGUGUUGAUUCCAAACCAACAGGCUUAGCUCAGGUGAUGGUGAGACAUGAUCGCACAGAGUUCCUCCUGUGCUCUUUACAACAUGGCCACCUUCACCAACAACCCCUUAACCUUUGCUUCUCUGAAGGUGAAGAGGUCACUUUUUUCAUGGAAGGAAAAGGUAUGGUGCAUUUAAGUGGGUACCUUAGGCCAUCCUUCAGUAUGGAUGAUGGCGAUCUGGAUUACCCAUCAAUGUCAGAAUCGGACUCUGAAGAAAGCCUUGGAAAUACAUCAGAUGAUGUACACACCCCACCUAUGUUCUACUCAAGAAUGCGAGGGAGAAAUUUAUACCAUAAACCAAAACGGAAACGCCCAGGUUGGCGGGUUACGGAAAGCGGUAAAGAUAUCGGUCGACAGGAGAAUGCAACCAAAGAUAGGCAUCCAAGAUCACAAAACAGAAGCAUAAUGCACGGAAAUGUAGAAAGACAGUGGCGUAAACGAAGGCGGCACAAGAAAAGGAGAAUGGAUGAUGGAAGAAAAGGAGGUGGACAGAGCUCAGAAAAGGAAAGAGUAUCAGAAACACCAGAAGAAAGGAAUUUAUCUCAAAGAAUGGCCAAAGAGAGAUCCAAUGAAAUGCAAUCAGAUCCUAGUAGAGUAAUAAGUACACAAAAGAACACUGAAAUAUCUAGCACUUUGCCAAGUGAAUCAUUUACAAGGACUAAUAAUAUGCCUGCCAAUGUCCACCACCAUGUGGAUCCGUCCAGGAUGGCAGCCAUGAACAUUAGCAAUUUUUCUACUGCCAUAGAGACACACAUACGCCAGGUUUACCCACCAGUCUCAAACAUCCGUGGUAGCAUACAUGGUCCUUCACCUUUGUUACUGCAGUCACAGAAAGCUCAUGCCCACCCAAUGCAGUCUGUCCCUAAUGAAAGUAGUUUAAGACAUAGUAGUAGUCAAAGUAGAAUACCAAGUAAUCACAGCUUACCCCCAAGUGUGCACACUCAGGCGCAUCCAUUAACCACAAGUACCGGGGAAUCGAGUAGUCCGGUUAUUGUCUCGUCCAAAUCACUGCAAGUGAUGACUGUGGAUGCACCAUCAGAGAGUAUGGAAACUGUUACACCACAAAUUGUAUCAACUCAGUCGUUGGCACCUCGGACGGGCCUUACCCCAACAGACGGGAGCCCAUCACCUCACCAGGGACAAGACGACAGUGCCUCACAGGAGAGGAAUUGGAGGGACUUCCAAGCUAGGCUUGCAGAUGAGGCCAGGAAGAGUCUCUCGGCGAGAGCUGAAAGUGAAGGGGCUGUUGAAGUUGUGGAAAUUCCUGCAGAUGCAGAAAGUGACCAAUCAGUAAAGCAAGAAUCAUUACCAAUGGACAUAAAUCAACCAGGCCCUAGUCGUGACGUACCUAUGCCAAUCAUCCCCGAUGCUGUAGGGGUUGGGGGCGUGCUUAAGUACAAUAAUGAGGGACUUCCAUGUUAUUUUGACCUAACCUCUGGGCCUGAUGUCGAUACAGUGCGUUUAGCUGAAGGUUACAAUGUAUUUAUCAGCAAACGUAGGUUGGGUGACAUCGAACAGGCCUCACGAGAAUGUUCUCGAAAUCCUUGGUCAUUAUGCAUACGUCGUCUAUUGGAUGCAUUUUUUGAUCGUGAAACGCUUGCUAUGGGUAAAGCGACUGAUCAUGGGCAUUCCAAAAAUCCUAAUCGUCAACCACUUAACCAGGAAAUCAUCCAAGCGAUUAAAGUGUAUACCUCUGAUUGGCUGGGUGGGGCCUACCACUAUCAGGAGGAAUUUAACCCAAUGCAUCAGUGACUACAUAGGCUCUGUGAGACUCUCUCUUCUGAAUAGACAAAGACGGCAUACAUCAAUAAGUCACUCCCCACACUCCUAGUGUACGUCCGGUCCAUUUUUGAUGUAACCACCAAACAAUUGAACAUUAUCAUCAAAAAUUACAUAUUCAGCGAAAAACGGCGACGCAAAGGAAGGUUUGGA
rnacentral:misc_RNA from 1 species